rnacentral:misc_RNA from 1 species
GCUCUAGUGUAAAGUGUUUCAACCAAACGUAUAGUUAGUAAUAAAUUGUACAUAGAGUGAUAAUUUUUCAAUUUCUGAUUAUAUAAAAUCGAGUUUCAAGACCAGAGUUUCUCCACUCUCCUGUCUGCUUGAGAAUUGAGAUAGAUAAAAAUCCUCAAGAACUAAAUUCUAAACCUUGAGUGAACCCAGAUUUAAAUCCUCCCUGGAGUCGCACCUAAACCAACCUUUCAUCCAUAUCGGUUCAGUAUGGCGACAACAGAAAUUCCUGGAUUGAAACUUGUUUCAACUCUUCCACCACGACUUAGUGCGGAUUAGAACAAUUUAUUAAUAUGUGACCAGUUUUAGUGAUUUAAUUUUGGCUAGUGUUGAGCUUAAUUAGUGAAAUGUCGCUGUUCUUGAAGCGGAGCGUGGCGGAUAUCUAUCCGCCACGUAUUGCCUGUUUUGUCUGCGGCAUGGAAGGACCGGCGGACUAUCCAUUGUUCCUGAGCCCCCACGGUACAUCAGCUGAUAACAAACUUUUACCGCAUUUUCCGUUUUUGCGGGAACUCGUUCCGCCAUUGGGCUGUCGUCCUCCCACUCCGGACUCCACAUCGUCCAGCUGCAGGUCCUGUUAUCUUACACUGAUGAAGCAGUGGGACGAUAAUGAGAAGGGUGGAGUCCCCCUGGAGAACAGGGUCUACUGGACAAAACGUCUUGACGAUCUACCGGUUUUACUGCCGGAGCAGCAGCUUGCGGUCAACAUGGAGGAGAUGAGCAGGUUUCCUGGGCUGGUCAAUCUUAGUUCUAAACCUGAUUACUCUGCCCCACAUUCAAAACCUUUGUGGACGGCCGAUGGAGCGCUACCCUCAGAAUCCACCACAAUCGUCUCCAACCCUGGGUGGAAAAAAAUGGGACCUCCGUCGUCCACGCCCAUUGUGAAUAUCGACCACUCCCAGGACGACAACGACUCUGCACUGGAUUUGAGCUCUGGUAGCCGGGACAGGGAAACCAUGAAGUCCCGGAGCUCUGUUAUCUCUCACAUGUCCACAACCUCUCAUCAUUCAAGUUACCAAUCCGAGGGCGCCGGGAGCUCAAACGAUAUCCUUGAUCUCACACUGCCCGAUAAAAAUGCAACGAUGGAAAUAUGCUACGUGUGCGGAGACGAUUAUAAAAAAGGAUUUCUGCAGUACGCCAGUACCCGGUCUGUUGGUAAACAACCCUUCUAUCCUAGUCUUGUUUUUCAUCCUCGGCCUCCCCGCAGCCGACCUCUAGACUCGGCAGGACGGGUUCAGUGCUGUGAUGAAUGUGUAGUUUAUCUGUUCCAACAGUGGACAAGGUUUGAAGAGCAAUCUGUCCCGCAUACAGACCGUAACUAUCUAUUACGUAAACGUGUAACAAAUAUAGUUGACACGGCAACCUUCGUCUGUUACAUAUGUGCGUUAGAUUACCAUUCCUCCUACCUACGCCUUCUUUACUGUAGAUCCAACAGUGAAAAUGAACCUUAUUAUCCUAUGAUAGAGCAGACUAAACCCCCACCCGGAGCUAGUCCUAUUUCCUCCGGGGGCAUGGUUCAAAUCUGCUCCCACUGUUAUAAGUGUACCAGGGAGAAGCAGUCCGGAAUCAAGAUGCAUGCGUUCGAACCUCCGCUUAAGAAACGGAAGUCAAGUCGAGCGAGUGUUGAGAUCUUGUGUGAUCCUGAUCAACCGGAGGACGAUGAUAAAAACAUUCCUUCCGAUAUAGAAUGCCUGCUGUGCCAGAGAAAAUUUACAAUUCAUAGUUUCAAGUUCAUCCAUUCCCAGGGCCCGCCCUUCGGAGGGAUACCAUUUUUUCCAUUUCUGAAAACUUUACCCCGCUCCGGGGACGAGUUAGGUUUUCCUUGUGACGACGAUUCCCAAGGACGAAUACGAGCGUGUCAGACCUGUACUACUAGUUUAUUUAAUCAGUGGACGACUUUUCAAAAGGAUGCUGUCCCUCUGGACGAACGAAUCUACUCGUAUCAGUCCCUAGUUGGACCCCAGUCCAGCGGACGAGUUACUCCCGGUGAUACUUUAUUGUCCCGCGCCACACCCACACCAACUUCAGGGCGUUCUCUGGGAUCCAACAACGGUGGAGGAGGGGGCGGAGCCAAUAUGCCCCUCCUUCAAUCCAAUCCGAUCAAAAUGGAAAAUGUCCGACCUAGAUCAAUUAACCCGUCUCAGUAUAGUGAUAACACCCCCUUGAAAGUAACUGUAACAGAACCUACCAUUCGUGUCAGACUUAACCUGGAGACCCGUGUUAGAACAACCUCAAGUUCAUUCUCCAACCCUCACUCCCCCCGCAUACCCUCUCAGCCUCCAACCUGCCACUCUCCCAUCUCAACCCACUCCACGGCCUCCGCGGACCCGAACCACAAGCCUUCCACCUCCUCCUUCUACUGUUUCCUGUGCGGGCUCCACUCAGAGCUCAGUUUUGCCAGGAUUCUGUAUAGUCAACCACAGGGGAAGAAAGCUCCCUACUUCUCCUUCCUAAAGGAGCAUGUGCCUAAACCUAGGGCAGAAACAAUGCGUGAGGAUGGAUCAUGUCUAGUCUGUACUUUCUGCUAUCAUAGUGUGAUGGUCCAGUGGUCCCGGUUCCAGGAUUCUCGAACUCCAGUCCCAUAUCAUCUCAGGAUAUUUAACAUCAAGGACUACGUGUGCUUCGUCUGCAGUGUUAAAACUUAUCGGAAACGAAUACGAGCUCUCAGAGUAAUGGAUUUCCCGUUUCUGAAAACUCACCGGGCUCAUAGAGGAACCUUGAUGAUGGAGAACGGAGAUAUGGCAGCUGUUUGUCUCGACUGUUUUAACUCCCUUAAAUCACAGUUUCACGAGGCUGCUAAGUAUGGGGUUCCUCUUGAGUCCCGAAAGUAUAACUGGAUGGUAGUUCCUCCUCCUCCUGAAAACUCAGCGUCUCUUGUUACGCCUAAAGAGAGAUUAGACCAGCUUUCCAACCAUUGAUAAUCUAUUCAUCUUUAGCUUUUAAAUUUUAUUCCUUUGACCUUUUAUUCUUAAAGGACCUGUAGACGGAAUUUCAAGUCACCGUCCAUUUAUAUAGUGGCAAUUUUCAAAUGCGAUUGGAUCAAUCAUAGUAGUCCUUUUAAUUGCUCCACAGGUCAACACUUUAUUCGUUUCUUUUGUCGUUUGAAUAAUUACAUAAAAUAAUUCGUUUGAUAUCCCGUGUUCGGAACCCAUAGAAGGAAUAAAUUCAAGGGUCAAAGCCCAUGAUUCUAAAUUUUGAAAGUUGUAACAGAUAAUAUCGAGAUCAAGCACUGUAGUUAAGCGCUAUUUCAACCAUAAGUUUUGUCCACCGGUUUACUUCUUGGUGAGCUAAUAAUCAAGAACUCCUUAGACCCUGUGACGUCUACCUACCCUGUGUCCAAAUUUAAUGAAUUUAAGCCGCGUCUCAAAUCCCCCAAAAACCGGUUUCAAUUGAGCGCCAGCUUAAAUCUUGAAAAAUUGAUUACAAUUUUAAGUGGAACCAACCAGAUUUGAGCCGCAGCUCAAUCACAUUGAAUCACAUUUCGCUUGAUAUAAUGUUUAUAAAACUUGAAACCUAGAGAUGAAACUUAUCAGUCGUCUUUUCUCUCCACACAAGUCCGGUGAUCGCUUUAAAUAUAAAAUCUAGAUUUUAAAUUAUUUCUCUUAAUUCCUUUUGACAUUAUUGACCUACGAUUCAUCCAUCAGCGAGAUGUAAAGUAACUUAACCUUCCCUUGGGACUAUUGAGUAAAAUAACAUCGGUUAAAAACUUUGCGCAUUUCUAUCUCAAAAGACGUUAAAAUUGUGUACAACUAUUGUCGGGAAAUUCAACAAUUUUUCCCAACUAUUGGUUAA